rnacentral:rRNA from 1 species
AGCGAACGCUGGCGGCAGGCCUAAUACAUGCAAGUCGAACGGAUCCUUCGGGAUUAGUGGCGGACGGGUGAGUAACACGUGGGAACGUGCCCUUUGGUUCGGAACAACUCAGGGAAACUUGAGCUAAUACCGGAUAAGCCCUUCGGGGAAGGAUUAUCGCCAUUGGAGCGGCCCGCGUCUGAUUAGCUAGUUGGUGGGGUAAAGGCCUACCAAGGCGACGAUCAGUAGCUGGUCUGAGAGGANGAUCAGCCACACUGGGACUGAGACACGGCCCAGACUCCUACGGGAGGCAGCAGUAGGGAAUCUUGCGCAAUGGGCGGAAAAGCCUGACGCAGCCAUGCCGCGUGAAUGAUGAAGGUCUUAGGAUU